AUUUGGACAGCUGGUGCAAAGCAUGCUGGAAUUGGGCUGCCUUUAAUGAAACGUUGCGUUUCAGCUACUAUUUUGGGGGUCUCAGUUCCAGCAACUCAUUUGAGACAGACACUAAUGUGGACACACUCAUUCAGAGGAGAGAAACACCCUCGAGCUAGGGCAAAGGGGAGAUGAGAGACGAAGAAGGAGCUGCCCGGAAAAGAAGAGGAGCUGACCGGCGAAGACGAAGAUGACCGGAGUUGCCACGUCGGAUGAAGCUUAGCGUAGCAAGCAAGUUUUUUUUUUCCAUUUUUUUCCUUUUUC
rnacentral:lncRNA from 1 species